GACGAACGCUGGCGGCGUGCUUAACACAUGCAAGUCGAACGGAAAGGCCCUGCUUUUGUGGGGUGCUCGAGUGGCGGCCGGGUGAGUAACACGUGAGUAACCUGCCCUUGACUUUGGGAUAACUUCAGGAAACUGGGGCUAAUACCGGAUAGGAGCUCCUGCUGCAUGGUGGGGGUUGGAAAGUUUCGGCGGUUGGGGAUGGACUCGCGGCUUAUCAGCUUGUUGGUGGGGUAGUGGCUUACCAAGGCUUUGACGGGUAGCCGGCCUGAGAGGGUGACCGGCCACAUUGGGACUGAGAUACGGCCCAGACUCCUACGGGGGGCAGCAGUGGGGAAUAUUGCACAAUGGGCGGAAGCCUGAUGCAGCAACGCCGCGUGCGGGAUGACGGCCUUCGGGUUGUAAACCGCUUUCGCCUGUGACGAAGCGUGAGUGACGGUAAUGGGUAAAGAAGCACCGGCUAACUACGUG
rnacentral:rRNA from 1 species